rnacentral:tRNA from 1 species
GCGCUGGUAGCUCAGCUGGAUAGAGUGCUUGACUACGAAUCAAGAGGUCGGGGGUUCGACUCCUCCCCAGCGCGCCA